rnacentral:rRNA from 1 species
AUUGGGCGUAAGCGCGCGCAGGUGGUUUCUUAAGUCUGAUGUGAAAGCCCACGGCUCAACCGUGGAGGGUCAUUGGAAACUGGGAGACUUGAGUGCAGAAGAGGAAAGUGGAAUUCCAUGUGUAGCGGUGAAAUGCGUAGAGAUAUGGAGGAACACCAGUGGCGAAGGCGACUUUCUGGUCUGUAACUGACACUGAGGCGCGAAAGCGUGGGGAGCAAACAGGAUUAGAUACCCUGGUAGUCCACGCCGUAAACGAUGAGUGCUAAGUGUUACAGGGUUUCCGCCCUUUACUGCUGAAGUUAACGCAUUAACCACUCCGCCUGGGGAGUACGGCCGCAAGGCUGAAACUCAAAGGAUUUGACGGGGGCC